rnacentral:rRNA from 1 species
AUUGAACGCUGGCGGCAUGCCUUACACAUGCAAGUCGAACGGCAGCACGGGAGCAAUCCUGGUGGCGAGUGGCGAACGGGUGAGUAAUAUAUCGGAACGUGCCCAGUAGUGGGGGAUAACUGCUCGAAAGAGCAGCUAAUACCGCAUACGACCUGAGGGUGAAAGGGGGGGAUCGCAAGACCUCUCGCUAUUGGAGCGGCCGAUAUCAGAUUAGCUAGUUGGUGGGGUAAAGGCCUACCAAGGCAACGAUCUGUAGUUGGUCUGAGAGGACGACCAGCCACACUGGGACUGAAACACGGCCCAGACUCCCACGGGAGGAAGCAGUGGGGAAUUUUGGACAAUGGGCUCAAGCCUGAUCCAGCAAUGCCGCGUGCAGGAAGAAGGCCUUCGGGUUGUAAACUGCUUUUGGCAGGGAAGAAAUCCUCUAGGUUAAUACCCUUGGGGGGAUGACGGUACCUGAAGAAUAAGCACCGGCUAACUACGUGCCAGCAGCCGCGGUAACAC